rnacentral:pre_miRNA from 1 species
AGUGGGAUAGCUGGGUCAAAUGGUGAUUCCAUUCCAAGUUUUCUAAGGAAUCUGCAUACUGCUUUCCAGAUUGGUUGCACCAAUUUGCAGUCUCACCAGCAAU